GUUUUUUUUUUUUUAACAUUGGCAGUGGUUUCCAAAUAUUUGUAAAUGUUGUGUAAACACAACAUACCAGGGACUCCAGAGGCUACUAGAUUGAUGUGUCUACCGUAGAUGGUAGGAGGAAGCCAGGCCAGCCACAGAACCUGGAGAGAGGAGGAAAGCAGUGUAUAAAGUCAUUCCCUCCCUCAGACAGAGGAAAUGAUUCCACCCCAUCUGUAGCCAGGGCAAAGCCAGCUGGAGGAGAUCUCUGAAAUCCACCCAGCUGUCAUGGCCAACAUGUCUGGAUCAGUAGGAGAGAAUAGGCCUCUUUAUUCAAACAAAAUGCCCAAGACUUAACUCAGAAGACUCUAGAUUCUACAUUCUUAAUGGAAUAAGGAGGCCACCAAGGGUCCAGACUCUGACUUCCCAGCGUCCACAGCCUUUGGGAGAGCUGAUCACCUAGUCACUGCUGCCCUGAGACGCAAUACCCCUCUUCAAGUACAGGGCCUCUUCCCUGAGGUCUUGUAGGCUCCAUUGGACACAGUGCUUCAAACAAGAAGGAAAGCACAGAAAACUCCAUGUAUGCAAAAAUAAAGAUUUCCAAUUCUCAUA